rnacentral:rRNA from 1 species
GCGGACGGGUGAGUAACACGUGGAUAACCUACCUAUAAGACUGGGAUAACUUCGGGAAACCGGAGCUAAUACCGGAUAAUAUUUUGAACCGCAUGGUUCAAAAGUGAAAGACGGUCUUGCUGUCACUUAUAGAUGGAUCCGCGCUGCAUUAGCUAGUUGGUAAGGUAACGGCUUACCAAGGCAACGAUGCAUAGCCGACCUGAGAGGGUGAUCGGCCACACUGGAACUGAGACACGGUCCAGACUCCUACGGGAGGCAGCAGUAGGGAAUCUUCCGCAAUGGGCGAAAGCCUGACGGAGCAACGCCGCGUGAGUGAUGAAGGUCUUCGGAUCGUAAAACUCUGUUAUUAGGGAAGAACAUAUGUGUAAGUAACUGUGCACAUCUUGACGGUACCUAAUCAGAAAGCCACGGCUAACUACGUGCCAGCAGCCGCGGUAAUACGUAGGUGGCAAGCGUUAUCCGGAAUUAUUGGGCGUAAAGCGCGCGUAGGCGGUUUUUUAAGUCUGAUGUGAAAGCCCACGGCUCAACCGUGGAGGGUCAUUGGAAACUGGAAAACUUGAGUGCAGAAGAGGAAAGUGGAAUUCCAUGUGUAGCGGUGAAAUGCGCAGAGAUAUGGAGGAACACCAGUGGCGAAGGCGACUUUCUGGUCUGUAACUGACGCUGAUGUGCGAAAGCGUGGGGAUCAAACAGGAUUAGAUACCCUGGUAGUCCACGCCGUAAACGAUGAGUGCUAAGUGUUAGGGGGUUUCCGCCCCUUAGUGCUGCAGCUAACGCAUUAAGCACUCCGCCUGGGGAGUACGACCGCAAGGUUGAAACUCAAAGGAAUUGACGGGGACCCGCACAAGCGGUGGAGCAUGUGGUUUAAUUCGAAGCAACGCGAAGAACCUUACCAAAUCUUGACAUCCUUUGACAACUCUAGAGAUAGAGCUUUCCCCUUCGG